rnacentral:rRNA from 1 species
UACGGGGGGAGCUAGCGUUGUUCGGAAUUACUGGGCGUAAGGCGCACGUAGGCGGCUUUGUAAGUUAGAGGUGAAAGCCCGGGGCUCAACCCCGGAAUUGCCUUUAAGACUGCAUCGCUUGAAUCCAGGAGAGGUGAGUGGAAUUCCGAGUGUAGAGGUGAAAUUCGUAGAUAUUCGGAAGAACACCAGUGGCGAAGGCGGCUCACUGGACUGGUAUUGACGCUGAGGUGCGAAAGCGUGGGGAGCAAACAGG